rnacentral:rRNA from 1 species
GACGAACGCUGGCGGCGUGCUUAACACAUGCAAGUCGAACGGAAAGGCCCUGCUUGCAGGGUACUCGAGUGGCGAACGGGUGAGUAACACGUGGGUGAUCUGCCCUGCACUUCGGGAUAAGCCUGGGAAACUGGGUCUAAUACCGGAUAGGAGCCAUUUUUAGUGUGAUGGUUGGAAAGUUUUUUCGGUGUAGGAUGAGCUCGCGGCCUAUCAGCUUGUUGGUGGGGUAAUGGCCUACCAAGGCGGCGACGGGUAGCCGGCCUGAGAGGGUGGACGGCCACAUUGGGACUGAGAUACGGCACAGACUCCUACGGGAGGCAGCAGUGGGGAAUAUUGCACAAUGGGCGCAAGCCUGAUGCAGCGACGCCGCGGGGGGGAUGACGGCCUUCGGGUUGUAAACUCCUUUCGCUAGGGACGAAGCUUUUUGUGACGGUACCUAGAUAAGAAGCACCGGCUAACUACGUG